AGGGGAAAUGAGGCGAUAGCGACGAUUCUACGAACACUGACGAAUAUCCACGAAUAAUCGAUUCGUCGGACUUUUAAUCCGUUGGUCACUGGUUCGAAUCCAGUACGUCCUACCA
rnacentral:tRNA from 1 species